rnacentral:tRNA from 1 species
GGAUGUAGCUCAGUUGGUAGAGCAUUUGCCCUGCAUGCACAUGGCCCUGGGUUCAAUCCCCAGAACCA